rfam:Desulfobacteraceae bacterium 4572_88 ex4572_88_scaffold_1729, whole genome shotgun sequence.
CCCUGUUUUCUGCAACAGGUAUCCUGUCAGGAUGUGCGUCCUGAGUAAUCGGGGGGUGCAAAGCUCCUGAAGCGUUCGAGUUU